UACGUAGGGUGCAAGCGUUAAUCGGAAUUACUGGGCGUAAAGCGUGCGCAGGCGGUUAUGCAAGACAGAUGUGAAAUCCCCGGGCUCAACCUGGGAACUGCAUUUGUGACUGCAUGGCUAGAGUGCGGCAGAGGGGGAUGGAAUUCCGCGUGUAGCAGUGAAAUGCGUAGAUAUGCGGAGGAACACCGAUGGCGAAGGCAAUCCCCUGGGCUUGCACUGACGCUCAUGCACGAAAGCGUGGGGAGCAAACAGG
rnacentral:rRNA from 1 species